GAGGUCGGGGUCUAAUGUUGUGUUGACAAGUUUUGUUGGACAUAGUCCUUGCAAAUAGUCCUCUUUGGUGAUUCUCAAAGUAUGUUCAUCAGGUAUCUGAAUCAGUUUCAAAAGGAUUAUGAACUGAAGAAAAUGGAGGAUAGGGUUGAUAUUAUACAUGGAAGCCAUGCUGAGAGAUCAAUGAACUAAAAGGAACUGGUUUAUGUAUUGACCAAAAGGAGUGAUGGAGCAGAGGUUUCUUUCUUGUGGAACAAAGUGGGAGUGAAUAAUAAUAGGAUUGGCGUUCUAGAGAUAGACAUAAAAUCUUGAUUUAGUCAGCUUAAAAUUAAUUUGAUUUUAACUCCCCUUUCACUUUCAUGUUUAUAUUAUGAAAAAUCAAUUUCAUAUUUCAAUGCAUCAUAAUUUCCAUACUUUGUGAAGUUUCUAGGAAGCUAUAAAAUGUAGAGUUUGAUACAUUAACUUAUGAGUGUUAUGCUUUCUAUUGAAGUAGAGGAUUGUUUUCAUUUGCCUAGAAACAUGUCCUACAUGAUCUUCAAUAUUUUUAGGAAAGGAAAUUGUUGUACUCAUAAAAUUGCUAAUACUGGUUUAUUUGUUAUUAGUUUCACUCGGUAGGGCAAUCUUCCAAAUGUUAUUACGAAGGAUUUUCAUAGAAAUAAGUUAGGAUUACCUAAACAUAGAUUUUACUAAUUUGAUGUUGAAUGAUGUUUUACUUUGCACUUUUUUCCCCUUCUCCUAUGUUUUAUUUAUUUGGAUUUUUUUUGGGGAAGGUUUCUAAUGAAGUAGAGAUUAGCAUUCA